GAUCAUGGCUCAGAUUGAACGCUGGCGGUAUGCUUAACACAUGCAAGUCGAACGGUAGCAGGCCUUCGGGCGCUGACGAGUGGCGGACGGGUGAGUAAUGCAUAGGAAUCUGCCUAUUAGUGGGGGAUAACGUGGGGAAACUCACGCUAAUACCGCAUACGCCCUACGGGGGAAAGCUGGGGAUCUUCGGACCUGGCGCUAAUAGAUGAGCCUAUGUUGGAUUAGCUAGUUGGUAGGGUAAAGGCCUACCAAGGCGACGAUCUGUAGCGGGUCUUAGAGGACGAUCCGCCACACUGGAACUGAGACACGGUCCAGACUCCUACGGGAGGCAGCAGUGGGGAAUCUUGGACAAUGGGCGAAAGCCUGAUCCAGCAAUGCCGCGUGCGUGAAGAAGGCCUUCGGGUUGUAAAGCGCUUUUGUCUGGGAGCAAAUCCUGGCCUCUAAUACAGGUCGGGGAUGAGAGUACCAGAAGAAUAAGGACCGGCUAACUACGUG
rnacentral:rRNA from 1 species